AUACUUACCUGGCAGGGGAGAUACCAUGAUCACGAAGGUGGUUUUCCCAGGGCGAGGCUUAUCCAUUGCACGCCGGAUGUGCUGGCCCCUGAAAUUUUCCCAAAUGUGGGAAACUCGGCUGCAUAAUUUGUGGUAGUGGGGGACUAUGCUUGCGUUCUCCUCUG
rnacentral:snRNA from 1 species